GUGCUUAACACAUGCAAGUCGAACGGAAAGGCCCCUUCGGGGGUACUCGAGUGGCGAACGGGUGAGUAACACGUGGGCAAUCUGCCCUGCACUUCGGGAUAAGCCUGGGAAACUGGGUCUAAUACCGGAUAGGACCUUUAGGCGCAUGUCUUUAGGUGGAAAGCUUUUGCGGUGUGGGAUGGGCCCGCGGCCUAUCAGCUUGUUGGUGGGGUGAUGGCCUACCAAGGCGACGACGGGUAGCCGGCCUGAGAGGGUGUCCGGCCACACUGGGACUGAGAUACGGCCCAGACUCCUACGGGAGGCAGCAGUGGGGAAUAUUGCACAAUGGGCGCAAGCCUGAUGCAGCGACGCCGCGUGGGGGAUGACGGCCUUCGGGUUGUAAACCUCUUUCACCAUCGACGAAGGUCCGGGUUUUCUCGGAUUGACGGUAGGUGGAGAAGAAGCACCGGCCAACUACGUGCCAGCAGCCGCGGUAAUACGUAGGGUGCGAGCGUUGUCCGGAAUUACUGGGCGUAAAGAGCUCGUAGGUGGUUUGUCGCGUUGUUCGUGAAAUCUCACGGCUUAACUGUGAGCGUGCGGGCGAUACGGGCAGACUAGAGUACUGCAGGGGAGACUGGAAUUCCUGGUGUAGCGGUGGAAUGCGCAGAUAUCAGGAGGAACACCGGUGGCGAAGGCGGGUCUCUGGGCAGUAACUGACGCUGAGGAGCGAAAGCGUGGGGAGCGAACAGGAUUAGAUACCCUGGUAGUCCACGCCGUAAACGGUGGGUACUAGGUGUGGGUUUCCUUCCUUGGGAUCCGUGCCGUAGCUAACGCAUUAAGUACCCCGCCUGGGGAGUACGGCCGCAAGGCUAAAACUCAAAGGAAUUGACGGGGGCCCGCACAAGCGGCGGAGCAUGUGGAUUAAUUCGAUGCAACGCGAAGAACCUUACCUGGGUUUGACAUGCACAGGACGCGUCUAGAGAUAGGCGUUCCCUUGUGGCCUGUGUGCAGGUGGUGCAUGGCUGUCGUCAGCUCGUGUCGUGAGAUGUUGGGUUAAGUCCCGCAACGAGCGCAACCCUUGUCUCAUGUUGCCAGCGGGUAAUGCCGGGGACUCGUGAGAGACUGCCGGGGUCAACUCGGAGGAAGGUGGGGAUGACGUCAAGUCAUCAUGCCCCUUAUGUCCAGGGCUUCACACAUGCUACAAUGGCCGGUACAAAGGGCUGCGAUGCCGCAAGGUUAAGCGAAUCCUUUUAAAGCCGGUCUCAGUUCGGAUUGGGGUCUGCAACUCGACCCCAUGAAGUCGGAGUCGCUAGUAAUCGCAGAUCAGCAACGCUGCGGUGAAUACGUUCCCGGGCCUUGUACACACCGCCCGUCACGUCAUGAAAGUCGGUAACACCCGAAGCCAGUGGCCUAACC
rnacentral:rRNA from 6 species